rnacentral:rRNA from 1 species
AUUGAACGCUGGCGGCAUGCCUUACACAUGCAAGUCGAACGUGAAAGCGGGGCAACCCGCAAGUAGAGUGGCGGACGGGUGAGUAAUACAUCGGAACGUGUCCAGUAAUGGGGGAUAACCUAGCGAAAGUUAGGCUAAUACCGCAUACGAUCUGCGGAUGAAAGCGGGGGAUGCGGCACUAAAGGCUUUUGGCGAAGGUGGCCAAAGGUGAGUCAAGAGCUUUUAGUGCUGCACCUCGCGUUAUUGGAGCGGCUGAUGUCUGAUUAGCUAGUUGGUGAGGUAAAGGCUUACCAAGGCGACGAUCAGUAGCUGGUCUGAGAGGACGGCCAGCCACACUGGGACUGAGACACGGCCCAGACUCCUACGGGAGGCAGCAGUGGGGAAUUUUGGACAAGUGGGGCAACCCUGACUCCAGCCAUGCCGCGUGAGUGGAGAAGG